AACAGGAUUAGAUACCCUGGUAGUCCACGCCGUAAACGAUGUCGACUUGGAGGUUGUGCCCUUGAGGCGUGGCUUCCGGAGCUAACGCGUUAAGUCGACCGCCUGGGGAGUACGGCCGCAAGGUUAAAACUCAAAUGAAUUGACGGGGGCCCGCACAAGCGGUGGAGCAUGUGGUUUAAUUCGAUGCAACGCGAAGAACCUUACCUACUCUUGACAUCCAGAGAACUUAGCAGAGAUGCUUUGGUGCCUCCGGGAACUCUGAGACAGGUGCUGCAUGGCUGUCGUCAGCUCGCGUUGUGAAAUGUUGGGUUAAGUCCCGCAACGAGCGCAACCCUUAUCCUUUGUUGCCAGCGGUUCGGCCGGGAACUCAAAGGAGACUGCCAGUGAUAAACUGGAGGAAGGUGGGGAUGACGUCAAGUCAUCAUGGCCCUUACGAGUAGGGCUACACACGUGCUACAAUGGCAUAUACAAAGAGAAGCGACCUCGCGAGAGCAAGCGGACCUCAUAAAGUAUGUCGUAGUCCGGAUUGGAGUCUGCGACUCGACCCCAUGAAGUCGGAAUCGCUAGUAAUCGUGGAUCAGAAUGCCACGGUGAAUACGUUCCCGGGCCUUGUACACACCGCCCGUCACACCAUGGGAGUGGGUUGCAAAAGAAGUAGGUAGCUUAACCUUCGGGAGGGCGCUUACCACUUUGUGAUUCAUGACUGGGGUGAAGUCGUAACAAGGUAACC
rnacentral:rRNA from 1 species